CGUAGGGGGCCAGCGUUGUCCGGAUUUAUUGGGCGUAAAGAGCGUGUAGGCGGCCAGGUAGGUCUGGUGUGAAAACUCGAGGCUCAACCUCGAGAUGUCAUCGGAAACCAUCUGGCUAGAGUCCGGAAGAGGAGAGUGGAAUUCCUGGUGUAGCGGUGAAAUGCGCAGAUAUCAGGAAGAACACCUAUGGCGAAGGCAGCUCUCUGGGACGGUACUGACGCUGAGACGCGAAAGCGUGGGGAGCGAACAGGAUUAGAUACCCUGGUAGUCCACGCCGUAAACGAUGGGUGCUAGGUGUGGGUGGUGUCGACUCCAUCCGUGCCGCAGCUAACGCAUUAAGCACCCCGCCUGGGGAGUACGGCCGCAAGGCUA
rnacentral:rRNA from 1 species